UACGAAGGGGGCGAGCGUUGUUCGGAUUUACUGGGCGUAAAGCGUGCGCAGGCGGUUGUGCAAGACAGAUGUGAAAUCCCCGGGCUUAACCUGGGAAUUGCAUUUGUGACUGUACGGCUAGAGUGUGUCAGAGGGGGGUAGAAUUCCACGUGUAGCAGUGAAAUGCGUAGAGAUGUGGAGGAAUACCGAUGGCGAAGGCAGCCCCCUGGGAUAACACUGACGCUCAUGCACGAAAGCGUGGGGAGCAAACAGG
rnacentral:rRNA from 1 species